GCAGACAGCCCGGCGAACCGCGCAAUGCGCUUCUUCUGCCUGCAGCAGAGAAAAGGAAAGAAAACUCCGCAGGGGCUCCGUUGGCUUCUCCACGAGUGACAACCAUGUUUUCCCAGAUAGAAGACCGGAGCCCUGCUCCUUUGCGAUCCGCCGAGGGCUGCAGAGAGCAUCCUCAUCCAUUUGGGCACCCCUGCCCAGGAAGAGCCCGGCCAUCCCUUUCCGGACUGGAUCCUUAAGAGGUGAAUUUUCUUCCGUGGAUUCCGAUUUGCUCCGUCUGACCAGCCUAGGCAAUCCAGCAUCGCGUGGUACCAGUGCCGCUGGGCACACUGGCUUCACGCCGGCUCCGCCUCACCAGCAAGCGCAUUCCCAGGUGGUCAGGCUCAGGAUGGACCAUGAGCUUUCAAAAAGGAAAAAGGUGGAAAUCCUCAACUAUGCUGCCAUCUGAAUAAGUGUUUCUUUGUAGAUGCACAGAGUCAAGGAAAAUUACAUCCCUGCAUUAUGUAAUGUACCAACAACGCACUUACCCACUGUUUUAAUCUAGGUUAUUCUUGAAAGCAGAGCCUGAGACAAAGGUAGACACAUUCUAUUUAUGAGUCUAACACCCAGGAGCAGGAAUGAGAGAUAGGGGAGUGAACUGGGGAAAAGGGAAACUAAGUCCGAGCAAAACCAGAUACUGCUCUUAUCAAGUGGUCCACCCCUAUUAAUGGCUACAUAAUGCAGAACUUUCUCAGGAUUCUUCUUAAACUUUAUCUCAGAACUGUCUGCCUCAGGGAGAAAGGAGAAGUAUUUCUCCAUCAGCAGCCACCUCCUGUGUGUUGAGGGCUGCUCCUUUGGGGCAUUAACCCACUGCCUCCACCACCCCAACCCUCUGGGCUGCAAAGAGCUAGCUGACAGUCCAGCUGGUACCUUAGCAUCACACAUUGCUGCAUCAGAGAGGUCUUAAGACAGGAAGCUAGAGUCUUGGUGCAUGCUCGAAGUGAGACGGUGUCAGCACAGAGCAGGGUAAAAUCUUCCCGUUAACUCUUCACCAGAGCUAUGACUGGAAUCAGAGGUUGAAAAGAUGUGAGACUGUACCCAAGAAGCAUCUUAUAAGCCUACGUAAUAUACUGUUAGACUCAUCGAAAUCUAUUUCCUCCCUUCUUUAUAAUCAAAACUUCAGUGUCCAGAAUAAAGUUGGCAGAAGGGUUAAAUUGGAAAGUUAAAUGUACUAGAAGGUGUACAUUUAUAAGUUUUGACCUUGAGUCGUGUUCAAGGAGAAAGUGACAUUGGAACUUGGAAAAUUUAAAAAUGAUUCUACUUGAAAAAUUUGACCAUUGCAUAGAAAUAUUAGCUAUCGUCUAAUCUUUUGUAAUCUUAGAAACAAUCGUGAAUUGUUUGGUGAAAAAUGAAAAAAUAACCAUUUCUUAUGUCUCCGUGACCUUUAUAGACCAAUGUCACCAACUUUUCCUAAGGUAAUUGUUUCCUACUGUCAAAUAGCUCUAGUGAUAUAAAUCUUAACAAUCAAUGAAGGGAAAACUGGUGGAAACAUAGGAGGAAAAAUACUGGGAUAAUUUUCAUCACAAAGUAUUGGCAUUAACAUUGGUUAGAAUAGGGGAGAAACUGCAUGACUUGACAACUGGACAUUCCUGUAUGUUGUAUGAGGCCCUGUCUUAACAGAAAUAGUGAUGUCAUCAUCAUCCUCUCUUAUUUGGUCUUGAAUUGCCACCAAUCGGAUAAAACCUUUGAAUUAUUUAACUCAAUAUAUGUUAAGUUUCUACUAUGUGCUGUGUAUUGGUACUAUAAAUAUGAAUAAGACAUAAGAUAUUACAUUCAAAAACAUCAGAAUACAUGUUCUUUUAAAGUAUACCCCAAAACAUUUACCAUGUGUUCUGGGGCGCAUGUUAGGCUGGAUCACAAAUCAAGUCUCAAGAAUUUCAAAAGAUUGAAAUCAUAUAGAGUAUGAAUUAAACCAGAAAUCAAGUACAUAAAGGUAACAAAAAAUUUCCAAAAUGCAUUAAUUUAAGGAACAUACACCUCAUGACCCAUGAGCCAAAAAAUAAAUCACGGCAAAAUUGCAAAAAUAUUUUGAAAUGAAUUUUAAAGAAAAUACUUAGCAUAUUAAAUACUUAGCAUAUUAAAGCUCUAAGUACAUAUGUUAGAAAUUUUACCGAAAGGUUGGCUAUCAGUGUUUCCAGAAGCCAGGGAAAAAGUUUAUACAAUUUGAUCGCUGAGGCAGGGAAACAAAGUGAGACCUCCGAUCGCCCUGCCUUUCUGAGGUGAGCACUCUGGAUCCCAUCGCAGGAGAUCAGAGUCUUGCUGAGUUGAGGAGAGGAAGAUUGGAGUUGAUACUGAGAUAGCUUGAAUUUUCAGGACAAAGUAUCAACAAGGAGGAAGGUAGACAAAAAAAUCCAGAAAUCUAUGUAGAGACCCCAUUGUGUACAUUGCGGAACACUAAGCCUAACAAUUCUCAAAAUUAGCGUGAGAUUGGGAAAUAUCUAAUUUCCAUCCAGCCACAGUGGAGAGUCCUGACUGAAAACCAGGCAUUCGCUAAAGAUCCCAGAAAGGUUGUGUGUUACAUACGUAGGGCUAAACUAUCCUGACUAAAAACUACACUACACUUGCUCCUCACCCCCACAAAAAGCUUAAAAACAAGCCUCAAUAGUAUAAAGCUGAUCUGUAAGUAACUAAACUACCUGCAGAACAAAGUCCAAAUUUAUUAGUUCCAGUACUCCAAAAAAAACACAUGUAAAAAAAAAAUAGAUUUACAAGACAUUUAUUUGGGGAAAAAAAGAAUGCCUGAGGGUUGAAAUGGAGAGGAAGCCAGAGAGACAGAGUCCUCAGAAUACAUAAAAUUUCUGGCCUCCAUGGAGGUGUGAUGGUUAAUUUUAUGCAUGUCAACUUCGCUGGGCCACAGGAUGCCCCAUAUAUGAUCGAACAUUAUUUCUGGUUGUGUUCAUGAAGCUUUUUCUGGAGGAAAUUCGCAUUUGAAUUGAUGGACUGAAUAAAGCAGAUUGCAGUCCCCAGUGUGGAUGGGCUUGAUCCAGUCUUCUAAGGACCCAAAUAAAAUAGGUGGAGGAAGCUUGAAUUUUCUGCCUGACUGUGGCGCUGGGACACCCAUCUUCUCCUGCCCUUGAACUGGGACUGACACCAUCAGUGCUCCUGGUUCUCAGACCUUCGGACAGCAGACUUGGGGCCUUCUCGGCCUCCAUUAUUGUCUGCUUUUAGAUAUUUAACGGGAGAGGAAAAGAGAAAAUAUGAUUAAAGCCUUUGAAAGUCCAUUUCCAAGAAAUAAAAACUGCAGUAGGAAUUCUACAAAACUGAAAAAUCUUCAGGACUGGAAGAUCUAUCCAGAAAAGCCCAGUGGAUUAUAAUAACUUAUUAAAAUAUUUGUUUGGCAAGCCACUGACUAAUACCACUUUAAGAUAUGAAUGCAUUACCAAAAAAAAUUGGAGUGAGUAGUUUUUACAAGUCUUUGAAAUAAUCAUAUUUGUAUUUUGACACUAAUUUGAAACAAGGAGCUGGCUUGAAAUAUUAAACCUAAGUGAUCAGAGACAAUGAGCUAUCAGACUGCAUGAUCAACGUAGAGCAAUCUCCACAUAAGAUGAGAUGCAUGCAGCCUCUACAAAUUUGGCUUGGGGAGGAGUUUGCUUCGCUCGCUUGAAUAAGCCACUGUCUAUGGCUCACAAGGGUCCCGUUCUUAAUGAGGUGGUGCGUAGCAGCAACACACUGUGAAUCCAAAUAGCAGAUGGCAACACUGUUGAGUAGGCUGGCAGUCUGAUGUC
rnacentral:lncRNA from 1 species